CCUACGGGAGGCAGCAGUGAGGAAUAUUGGACAAUGGAGGCAACUCUGAUCCAGCCAUGCCGCGUGCAGGAAGACGGCCCUAUGGGUUGUAAACUGCUAUUAUACAGGAAGAAUGGUACCUACGUGUAGGUAUUUGACGGUACUGUACGAAUAAGGAUCGGCUAACUCCGUGCCAGCAGCCGCGGUAAUACGGAGGAUCCAAGCGUUAUCCGGAAUCAUUGGGUUUAAAGGGUCCGUAGGCGGUCUGAUAAGUCAGAGGUGAAAUCCUGCAGCUCAACUGUAGCAUUGCCUUUGAUACUGUUAGACUUGAGUUAUUGUGAAGUAGUUAGAAUGUGUGGUGUAGCGGUGAAAAGCAUAGAUAUCACACAGAAUACCGAUUGCGAAGGCAGAUUACUAACAAUACACUGACGCUGAGGGACGAAAGCGUGGGUAGCGAACAGGAUUAGAUACCCUGGUAG
rnacentral:rRNA from 1 species